rnacentral:lncRNA from 1 species
UUUGUGUGUUUACAUUUAAAGUGCACUUCUUAUAGGCAGGAAAUAAUUAGAUCUUCCUCUUUCUCUCUCUUUUUUAAGUCAAAGCUGACAAUCUCUACCUUUCAAUUGGGGUGUUUGAUCAUUUAUGUUUAAUGUGAUUAAUGAUAUAAUGAGAUUUUUUUUUGAUAUAAUGAGAUUUAAGUCUAUCAUCUUACUGUUUUGUUUUUGUCCCAUCUGUACUGUUUCUUUAUCCCUUUGUGUGCCUAUUUUGGAAUAAUUUUUAUGAUUCCAUUUUAAUUUAUUUUAUAAAUAAUUAUAACUGUUUUUGUGUUAUUUGGUGGUUGUUUAGUGUUUAUAGCAUAUAUAUAUUUAACUUACCUUCAAGUCUGUAAUAUUGUGAGUUUUUAGUAAGUAAUAUAUUGUUAGCCUUCACCCCCAUUUCUGGCACAGAACUAAAACCCUUAGAAUUUCCUAAAUAGGGGAUCCCUGGGUGGCUCAGCAGUUUAGCACCUGCCUUUGAUCACGCCCAGGGCAUGAUCUUGGAGAUCCAGGAUCCAGUCCCAUGUCGGGCUCCCUGCAUGGAGCCUGCUUCUCCCUCGCCUGCGUCUCUGCCUCUCUUUCCCUCUCUCUCUCUCUCUGUGUGUGUCUGUGAUGAAUAAAUAAAUACAAUCUUUAAAAAAAAAAAAAGAAUUUCCUAAAUAAUGAGAGUGAUCAAAGUUUGUGAUGUUAAUGAGGCUGAUCUUUGGAAAUCCCCUAAAUCAUCAAAGAAUAGGGACUGAUUCCCUGUAGAGUCACCUAUGUGAUUAGAUGGUUGGAACAUUCAGUCUUACUUCCCUACCUCCACAGGGGAGAGGGGCUGGAAAUUAAAUCAAGUCACCAGUGGGCAAUGAUUCAAUCAAUCGUGCAUAUGUAAUGAAACCUCCAUUAAAAAGAAGAAAAGAAAAGGAUGGGGUUUAGAGAGUUUCCAGGUUGGUGAACAUGUUGAGAUUCAGGGAGAGUAGGGUGCCUGGAGAGGGCAUAAAACUCUUCACCUUUUCCCCAUACCUUGCCUAUUUCAUCUCUUCCAUAUGGCUGUUCGUAAGUUAUAUCCUUUUAUUUUUUUAUAAUUAAAAAAAAAUAUUUUAUUUUACUUAUUCAUGAGAGAUAUAUAUAUAUAGAGAGAGAGAGGCAGAGACACAGGCAGAGGGAGAAGCAGGCUCCAUGCAGGGAGCCUGACGUGGGACUCAAUCCUGGGUCUCCAGGAUCAUGCCCCUGGCCAAAGGCAGCACUAAACCGCUGAGCCACCUGGGCUGCCCAAAGUUAUAUCCUUUUAUAAUAAACUCAUAAUCUGGUAAGUAAAUAUUUCUCUGAAUCCUAUGAACCACUCGAACAAAUUAAUUAAACUGAAGAAGGGAAUCACUGGAACCUCCAAUCUAUGGUCAGUUGAACAGAAGUGCAGGUGGUAACCUGGGCUUGUGAGUGGCAUCAGCAGUAUGUUAGGGGGCAGUCUUGUAGGACUGAACCCUUUACCUGUGAGAUAUGACUUUCUCCAUGUAGACAGUGUCAGAAUUGAAUUGUAGGACAUCCAACUGGUGUUGGAGAAGUUCUUGGUGAUAUGGGAAAACUCUACACGUACACAUUGAAAUUGGGUCCAGAAUCAGUAACGUCAAAUAAAAUGGUAUAAGAACCUUACAAUAACAUACCGCUAUUUCCCCACCACCACAAAAUAUAAUACUUUGAAAAGAUUUAAGUCAUUUUAAAAGAUUUUGCAUAUCUACUCACGUAGCUAAUCUUUUCAAUGUUCUUCACUCCUUUGUAUAGAUCUAUAUUUUGAUCCAUGAGUUUUUUCUUCUUAUUUAACAUUUCUUAUUGUGUGGGUCUGCUAGUAUUGAAUUCGUUCAGAUUUUCUAAAGAUUGGUUUUUUAAAAAAGUAUUUUGUCUUCAUUUUUAAAAGAUAUCAUAUUAGUGUUCUAGGGCUGCCAUCACAAAAUACCCAGACUGGGUUUCUUAAACAAAUAUUUAUUUUCCCUGAGUUUUAGAGGCUGGAAGUUUGAGAUCAAGGUAUUCACAGGUUAGGUUUCUUCUGAAACCUCUCUCUUUGGCGUGAGGAUGGCUGCCUUCUCACUAUGUCCUUGUAGUUAUCUCAGACUGCAUCUGUGUCUUAAUCUCUUAUUAUAAGGACACUAAUCAUGUUGGAUUAGGAUCCACACAUAUGAUCUUAUUUUAUCUUAAUUAUCUCUUAAAAGACCUAUCUCCAAAUACAAUGACAUUCUGAGCUAGUGAGAGAUUAGGAUUUCAGCAUAUGAAUAGGGGGGCACCAUUCAGCCCCAAACAGAUAAUUUUUCCAGGUGUAGAAUAACAAUUUGCCUUCAGAACUCUGAAGGUGUUGCUACACUAUCAUCACACUUGUAUUAUUUACCAUAAGAAAUAUGUUGCCACCCUUAAUUUUGUUCCUCUGAAUAUAUUUAAUCUUUUAUUUCUCUGGCUGCUUUUAAGAUUUUUUCUUUAUCCAAGAUUUUGGGCAAUUUUGUUAUGAUUUGUUUUGGUGUUAUCUUCAUGUUUCUUGUUCUUUGAUUCAUUGAGCUUCUUGGACUUGUCUAAAGGGUUAAUCAUUUAGGUCUGAAGUAGAAGUGACCUUUUCUUAGGACUCUUCAUAAAUACAGAAUUAUGGCUCAAAAGAUUUGACAAUUUAAAUUUUGGGACUCCUGAGUGUCUGCCUUUGGCACAAGGUGUGAUCCCAGGUUCAGGGAUCAAGUCCCAGGAUCAAGUCCCAUAUCAGACUCCCUGGGAGGAGCCUGUUUCUCCCUCUGUCUAUGUCUCUGCCUCCCUGUGUCUCUCUUGAAUAAAUAAAUAAAAUCUUAAAAAAAAAAAAAAUUCAAAUUUUGAUGCAUUUUGCCAAUUUACCUUUCAUAAAAUGUCAACCAGUUUACAUUCCCACCAGAAGACAGUAUGAUAUUCUUUUUAAUUAUUGUCAAUCUAAAUGGUUUUUUAUAAGUUUUAUUUUUUUAAUUUGCAUUUAUUUAAUUACCUAUGAAAUUAAGCCUUUGUUCAUGUUAAUUGAUCAUGUGUUCUUACUUUUCUUCAUUAAUUUAUUUUAUUAUUUUUUUUUUAAUUUUUAUUUAUUUGUGA